UGAGGAAAACAAGUGGUUCAGAUAAC
rnacentral:piRNA from 1 species